rnacentral:lncRNA from 1 species
AGGAAGCCCCGGGCACUGCAGGGCCGGGCUUUGGGAGCAGCAGAAGGGAGCUGGAGCAUCCCUGGAGCAUCCCUGGAGCAUCCCUGGAGCAUCCCUGGAGCAUCCCUGGAUCUCCCAGCCUCGGGAAUGCUGUAACAUCCUUGGAUGAGCUCAGAGGGGGUGACACAAACACCCCAAUUCCUCCAGGACUGUUCAUUCCUCUGGGAUCGCCAGGAAAAUCACCCUGCCAGCACCCGGGACUGUAACAAUCCCCUGGGGAUGGGCUCGGCUCUCCCAGGUCCUGCCAGGACUCUGAGACGUCCCGAGGCUGCUGCUGGAAGGGAUUUGGAUUUUCCCAUGGACUGACUCACACCGGGAGGGAAACUCUGCUGCUCUGUGCGGGUCAGCCAGUGCUGCUGCAGGGUGCCACACGUCCUGAGGAUUGCCAAGGUAAGGAUUCCCUGCUUUCCCCAGCUCCCAGCCCCCUGCUGGAACCAGGGAAUAUCCCAGCUCCUGCUCCUCACCCGCUGCUCCUGCGUUUAUCCGCUCCUGGCGCAGCCACGGUGAAGAUUCCGUGUGAUUCGGGGGAGCAGCUUCUCCCCUCUUUAUUGAAUUCCCAUUUCUUUAAUGCACGAAGAGGAUUUACCAGAGAUGAGAUCAAAGCCCAGCAUCUCCAAAUUGCCUCGUUCCUCCUGCUUUGGGGUUGGCAAACGCCUCUAAAUUGGAAUAAAAGCAGGAAUGUGAUUCCCAGAGGAGGCAGAGCAGGAGAUCCCUCGGAGAGCUGGGCAGAUUUAGAGUUUCCAGCUCUUCUCAGAGGACCCCAAUCGCAUUUUUUCAUUUGCUCUGACUUGCAGAAGGUUCCAGGGCACUUGGGAACCGACAGCUUCUCUUUGUAGGUCAGGUAAUAGGGAGGCACUUGAAAUUUGACUCACUCAUGAUGAUCAGCCCUAAAACCAAACCAGGUCACCUCACCCUGCACGAGAAAUACCCGAGCACUCGCUGCUGCUGGGUUGAAAAAGAGCAUUUUGAAGCUUUUACUGUGGACUCUGAGCUCCCUGAGAGGAAACUCGCCAUUCCUGACAGCAGGCUAUGCCGAGCGUGGGCCAUGGCGGGCUCCGAGGCUUUGGUGCUGCCCGUCCUGCUCUGCUGCCUGUGCCCAGGUGCCGCAAACCUCGAGUGCAAGGGGAGCGUGUGGAUCGAGCCCGCGGCGGUGGUGCGGAUGGGCUCCGACAUCUCCAUCGGCUGCCAGUCCUCCCUGAGCUGCCCUGAGCUGCAGCUCGACAUCCUCCUCAACUACAGCCGCGCCGAGGGCAGCCCGCUGCCCGGCGGCACC